CCUCUUGCACUGAAGACUGAGUGAAAGUGGUAUGUGAAGAUCUGCAGGCUCAAAGAUAUCUCAGUGCUUGCCCAUGUCAGCUGGUACCAACACAGUGAUGAUCUAGUGAUUGUAUGCCAUGGUGGUGAGCAGCUGGAGAUCCCAAGCAAAUCUGAAUCCUGAAUGGCUCCAGCAAUCUCUAAAAUAGCACAUCUAAAGCCACGUCAGUCUCCAUUCCCCAGCUUCCAGAUGGUUGUACUCCUUGGACAACUGCUUGCAACUGUAUUCAUCUUGCUUCUUCCCAUCUGUGAAGAAUUGGUAUUUGAACCCUAUAAGUCUGAUAUGGUAUUUGCUGUAAUCACUGCA